UUUCUAUGAUCACAAAUUCUAAGCUUGUUUCUCAAAACAUUCGCAGUUGCCACCUGAGAGCUUUUGCCUUGCCAGGCUUGAGAGCUUGUGUUGCUCAAUUCUUCCUUGGGAUGUUUGAGAAA